CUCAACCUCGGAAGGCCUUUGGAUACUGUCUGGCUUGAGUUCGUGAGAGGAAGGCGGAAUUCAGGGUGUAGCGGUGAAAUGCUUAGAUAUCCUGAGGAACACCAAUGGCGAAAGCAGCCUUCUGGCACGAAACUGACGCUGAGGCCCGAAAGCGUGGGUAGCGAACAGGAUUAGAUACCCUGGUAGUCCACGCCGUAAACGUUGUGCACUAGGUGUAGGAGGUAUCGACCCCUUCUGUGCCGCAGCUAACGCAUUAAGUGCACCGCCUGGGGAGUACGCGCGCAAGCGUGAAACUCAAAGGAAUUGACGGGGGCCCGCACAAGCGGUGGAGCAUGUGGUUUAAUUCGAGGCAACGCGAAGAACCUUACCCGGACUUGACAUCCCGCGCUACCUGUGGAAACACAGGGUUCCCUUCGGGGACGC
rnacentral:rRNA from 1 species